UCCCUCAUAGCUCAGUCGGUAAAGAAUCUGCCUGCAAUGCUGGAGACCCAGGUUCGAUUCCUGGGUCGGGAA
rnacentral:tRNA from 1 species